GCCCGUUUAGCUCAGUGGUAGAGCGCGCCACUCGUAUACUUGUGAUGGUGAGGUCAAUCGUUCAAUCCGGUUAGUGGGCA